GUACAUUGAGGCAAGCAGAUCCGCGCUUCCCACGCCCAGGAGAACAUGCGUUUGUCUCGAACCAUAUCCACUCCCGACAUUGUGAAACAGCGCGUUCGUCUUAGUAUAUCGUGAAGCGCCACGACCGCUACAAUUUCGAUUUUGGUGAAAAAAGUUUUACGACGGCUUGGACGUCUACUUUCCAUUUAGCUGUUUGUGGAGGACGCAUGAUUGACCUGUGCCGGACCAAAAGCGAAGAUUGCAUGAAAGAUCUCAAGGCUAUACUCAGCUGCGCCACACUGGGAGGCUUACUGGAUAAGCAGAAGCAUCCCUGUGACUCCAAAAAAGUGCCUCCGCUUCUGUCUUCUCCCAUGAUGGCCCUGGCCUCCUUCCAUCUGAUGCAAACUCUAAAAAACUCUCCAGCGGCUCUGCGUCGGCGAUUCUGUCGUGACCGCACAGAGAGCCUGUCUCACGGCGAUCCCCUCUUCAAAGUGCACUACCUUGGCACCAAGAAGAUCUUCUCCCUGGACUUAGAGCAGGCGGAGGAUGCCAUCGAUCAACUCCUGGAUGGGGCGCCUGGGAAGCUUUCUAAAGAUCAUGCCAUGGCAGCCCGGUCAGCAGCUACAAUGCAGAGUGUUCUGGUGCAGUCGGGCAGAAAGGGCAAAGGACAUGACUGCCUGCCUAGCAAUGUCAUUUCAGCAAGCGCUCAACGACUGGCAGGGUGGAUGUGCCAAGUUGCCGCAAGGGGAAGGAAUCACUAA
ensembl:lncRNA